rnacentral:tRNA from 1 species
ACUCGGUUAGCUCAGCUGGUUAGAGCACAUGCCUUACAAGCAUGGGGUCGCUGGUUCAAGCCCAGUACCGAGUA